AGGAUGAACGCUGGCGGUCUGCUUAACACAUGCAAGUCGAACGGAGUAGCAAUACUUAGUGGCGGACGGGUGAGUAACGCGUGAGAAUCUACCUUCAGGACGGAGACAACAGUUGGAAACGACUGCUAACCCCCGAUGUACCGAAAGGGCAAAUAUUUAUAGCCUGAAGAAGAGCUCGCGUCCGAUUAGCUAGUUGGAGAGGUAAAAGCUCACCAAGGCGACGAUCGGUAGCUGGUCUGAGAGGACGAUCAGCCACACUGGGACUGAGACACGGCCCAGACUCCUACGGGAGGCAGCAGUGGGGAAUUUUCCGCAAUGGGCGAAAGCCUGACGGAGCAAGACCGCGUGGGGGAAGAAGGCUCUUGGGUUGUAAACCCCUUUUCUCUGGGAAGAACACAAUGACGGUACCAGAGGAAUCAGCAUCGGCUAACUCCGUGCCAGCAGCCGC
rnacentral:rRNA from 1 species